rnacentral:sRNA from 1 species
GGGAGGGGACCGCGGGCGCGCCCUGGGACCUCUCUCCCAGAACGGUGCUGUUGAAGCCAGGGUCAGAUGUCGUGGCUAAAAAAAGGCAGCCAGCGGCAGCGUGACUGGCAGGGUCGUCGGCAGCUGCGGGUGUCAGUCUCGCCCCGCGUCGCCGCGGGAGGGGUCCACCCAGUUCUGGACUUCAGUGACCCCUUCAGCACUGAAGUGAAGCCGAGAAUCCUGCUCAUGGGCCUGAGGAGAAGCGGCAAGUCGUCUAUUCAGAAAGUUGUCUUUCACAAAAUGUCUCCCAACGAAACUCUGUUCUUGGAGAGCACUAAUAAGAUAUGCCGGGAAGAUGUUUCCAACAGCUCCUUUGUCAAUUUUCAGAUUUGGGACUUCCCAGGACAGAUUGACUUUUUUGACCCUACGUUUGACUAUGAGAUGAUCUUCCGGGGAACAGGAGCACUGAUAUUUGUCAUUGACUCACAGGAUGAUUACAUGGAAGCCCUGGCCAGGCUCCACCUCACGGUGACCAGGGCCUACAAAGUGAAUACCGACAUCAACUUCGAAGUGUUUAUUCAUAAAGUGGAUGGUCUGUCAGAUGACCACAAAAUUGAAACCCAAAGAGAUAUUCACCAGAGGGCAAACGAUGACCUUGCAGAUGCUGGAUUAGAAAAAAUUCACCUCAGCUUUUAUCUGACAAGCAUAUAUGAUCAUUCAAUAUUUGAAGCUUUUAGCAAAGUGGUUCAGAAACUGAUUCCACAACUCCCAACUCUGGAGAAUUUGCUGAACAUCUUUAUCUCAAAUUCUGGAAUUGAAAAGGCAUUUCUAUUUGAUGUGGUCAGUAAAAUUUAUAUUGCAACUGAUAGUACUCCAGUGGAUAUGCAGACCUAUGAGCUCUGCUGUGAUAUGA